UGUGAAUGAACUAAUGACACCUACUUACAGGCAGUAUUGUGAAGAUUAAUUAAUUGACAUUAUUGAAGUAUCCUGAGGUGGAAUUCCUAAUAGACCAACCACAUUCCUGAAUGACGCGAUACACUUUCUGUUGUUGCAAAUCCUGGAGAGGAAUGAAAAAGAAGUCUUUGCUCAGCCUGUGGAAGCUUGGAAGCUCCAUCAUGGGAGUCAGCAGAGCCUGCCGUUUCCCGGCCACCGCAGGACUUCUAGUGUUUUCACAGGUAACACUUUUAUUUCGCAGAGAGUCGUAUAGAAAGCUCCUGUUCUUCUUUGCCCAGCCUCUCUACUACCUUUCACCUCUCAGUUCAUGGCAGUUCACAGACAAGCUGCAGCAGGUGAGUUGGGCAAGGAGAUGGUGAGGAUUUGACCUGAUGCACUGAAGCAAUCAGAGUAUCGAAAGUCCUGGUGCAUCCUAAGCUGCUCAAAUCAAUGUGAGCUUUCUUUCUGACCUCAGUGGAUCUAGGAUUUUCCUGCCAUGUACAUUUGCUGCCUGGACAGCAAGUAAAGGUUUCUUUGCCUGUGUGAUUAGGCUCAUAAGUCUUCACAGAGGAGGCAUGUUCUGUGUGGCUGAUAACUUCGGGAAUGUGUGUUGUCUCUAGUCAGAAACAUGCUUUUCCUGUUGUGAAGGCUAUUCAAGUUAUCUGUAUAUAAUAUCAUGAGCUGGAAAAGAAAGGGGAUUUGUGCCCUUUGAAGAAGCUCCUCCAGAUUCUUUUCUGCCUCUCUUCAGUGUGAUGCACCAGUAUUUACAUUCUUUUCUAUCUCUCUUUUUUUUUUUUUUUCCCUACUUGCUCCUUUCUUCCAGGCAGUUAGAGUCUGGCUUUGGUCUUGCUGCUGGAUGCAAGUUUUUGUUUCAAUGUGUAACUGGAUUUUUUGGUUCUGGUGCAGAAGCCAGGCUGUCUCACAGCGGCUCCUCUUUGCAUUAGACCCUGGCAGGUCUCUCCUGCACUGAUGCACUUAUUAAAAGCUUAGUUAUUUAUUCAUUUCCUCUUCACUAUCUUUAGGUAUAUGCCAGGACUUGGAAAUGAUCAGUCAUGUUUUUUUCAUGUUGCCUUGCUCUUUUUGUUCUCUUUUAUCAGUAUAGAAACCCAUGGUGUUGGUACAGGACUUAUUCCCAAAAAACAAUGUUUCCAACCCAUUUAUCUGUACAACUUACUUUUUUGGAUUUUGGAUUUUCCGCUAACAUUGAAGACUCCAGGCCCUUUCUUUCUGCCUUACUGACAUCAAAAUAUAGCAAAACUUUUCCAUUUACAGAACUGACUGAUUUACCUGACUUUUUUCAUUGCUAUGGGAAUGUUUACAAAAACUAGUCCAUUUUCAAUUAUUGCUUGUAUUAUUGUAUGUUGUCUAUAUACCUGCCUUAUUUUUUUUCUUUUACUACUUGUCACCCUCUUAGAUGAAAAUAUUUUGGAAAGCAAUAAAACUAACCUGUUACAAUAGGGCCUAUUUGUG
rnacentral:lncRNA from 1 species